rnacentral:rRNA from 1 species
AUUGAACGCUGGCGGCAUGCUUUACACAUGCAAGUCGAACGGUAACAGGCCUUCGGGUGCUGACGAGUGGCGAACGGGUGAGUAAUGCAUCGGAACGUGCCCAAUCGUGGGGGAUAACGUAGCGAAAGUUACGCUAAUACCGCAUAAGCCCUGAGGGGGAAAGCAGGGGAUCGCAAGACCUUGCGCGAAUGGAGCGGCCGAUGUCAGAUUAGCUAGUUGGUGGGGGUAAAGGCCUACCAAGGCGACGAUCUGUAGCGGGUCUGAGAGGAUGAUCCGCCACACUGGGACUGAAACACGGGCCAGACUCCUACGGGAGGCAGCAGUGGGGAAUCUUGGUCAAACUCGUGUGACUGU